rnacentral:rRNA from 1 species
GGGUUGUGAGGUUAAGCGACUAAGCGUACACGGUGGAUGCCCUGGCAGUCAGAGGCGAUGAAGGACGUGCUAAUCUGCGAUAAGCGUCGGUAAGGUGAUAUGAACCGUUAUAACCGGCGAUUUCCGAAUGGGGAAACCCAGUGUGUUUCGACACACUAUCAUUAACUGAAUCCAUAGGUUAAUGAGGCGAACCGGGGGAACUGAAACAUCUAAGUACCCCGAGGAAAAGAAAUCAACCGAGAUUCCCCCAGUAGCGGCGAGCGAACGGGGAGCAGCCCAGAGCCUGAAUCAGUGUGUGUGUUAGUGGAAGCGUCUGGAAAGGCGCGCGAUACAGGGUGACAGCCCCGUACACAAAAAUGCACAUGCUGUGAGCUCGAUGAGUAGGGCGGGACACGUGGUAUCCUGUCUGAAUAUGGGGGGACCAUCCUCCAAGGCUAAAUACUCCUGACUGACCGAUAGUGAACCAGUACCGUGAGGGAAAGGCGAAAAGAACCCCGGCGAGGGGAGUGAAAAAGAACCUGAAACCGUGUACGUACAAGCAGUGGGAGCACGCUUAGGCGUGUGACUGCGUACCUUUUGUAUAAUGGGUCAGCGACUUAUAUUCUGUAGCAAGGUUAACCGAAUAGGGGAGCCGAAGGGAAACCGAGUCUUAACUGGGCGUUAAGUUGCAGGGUAUAGACCCGAAACCCGGUGAUCUAGCCAUGGGCAGGUUGAAGGUUGGGUAACACUAACUGGAGGACCGAACCGACUAAUGUUGAAAAAUUAGCGGAUGACUUGUGGCUGGGGGUGAAAGGCCAAUCAAACCGGGAGAUAGCUGGUUCUCCCCGAAAGCUAUUUAGGUAGCGCCUCGUGAAUUCAUCUCCGGGGGUAGAGCACUGUUUCGGCAAGGGGGUCAUCCCGACUUACCAACCCGAUGCAAACUGCGAAUACCGGAGAAUGUUAUCACGGGAGACACACGGCGGGUGCUAACGUCCGUCGUGAAGAGGGAAACAACCCAGACCGCCAGCUAAGGUCCCAAAGUCAUGGUUAAGUGGGAAACGAUGUGGGAAGGCCCAGACAGCCAGGAUGUUGGCUUAGAAGCAGCCAUCAUUUAAAGAAAGCGUAAUAGCUCACUGGUCGAGUCGGCCUGCGCGGAAGAUGUAACGGGGCUAAACCAUGCACCGAAGCUGCGGCAGCGACGCUUAUGCGUUGUUGGGUAGGGGAGCGUUCUGUAAGCCUGUGAAGGUGUGCUGUGAGG